UACAAAUAGGCGCGCGACAAAGCUGCAUUGACUCAAUUUCAAAAUUAUCAAGGUAAGCCAUUUGUCUGUAUUGGGUGGCCGAAACCGCGCUGAUGUGUGCCGGCGCAUUCUGAAGCAUUGCAUGUCAAAUGAGGUGGUCAACCGGUACAGCUGGCAUGGGAGGAAGAAAAAGGCAGUAUUUGGAAAAUUCCAUUGGCUGAUGCUGUGCAGAAAGCUGUCAUGCGGGCGGUCCUUGAAAUGCACAGCUGCAGAAGUUGAACAUGAGUGCAGGGAAUGGUUUAGAACAGCCUCUGACCGUGAAGUUGGAAGAAAGAAGAGGACAGCCAAAAAAAGUGAUGAACCGUCCCAAUGAAUUUUAACUUGUGUGUGUUUUAACUUUUAAUUUAGUCUCCUGCUGCAAUUUGUUAUGAUGUAAUGGUCUCUUUGAACUUUAAAUUAAUGAUUUUACACAACUUUUCUUUUAAUAUGCAUAAUCAUGGAAGCAGUGUAUAUUUAUGCCCCCCUUUGAAGAAGAAGGGGUAUAUUGCUUUGCUCAUGUCGGUCGGUCGGUCUGUCGGUCCGUCCACCAGGUGGUUGUCAGACGAUAACUCAAGAACGCUUGGGCCUAGGAUCAUGAAACUUCAUAGGUACAUUGAUCAUGACUCGCAGAUGACCCCUAUUGAUUUUGAGGUCACUAGGUCAAAGGUCAAGGUCACGGUGACCAGAAAUAGUAAAAUCGUUUUCGGAUGAUAACUCAAGAACGCAUAUGCCUAGGAUCAUGAAACUUCAUAGGUAGAUUGAUAAUGACUUGCAGAUGACCCCUAUUGAUGUUAAGGUCACAAGGUCAAGGUCACGGUGACCCGAAAUAGUAAAAUGAUUUUCGGAUGAUAACUGAAGAACGGUUUUGCCUAGGAUCAUGACACUUCAUAGGUACAUUGAUCGUGACUCGCAGAUGACCCCUAUUGAUUUUCAGGUCAAAGGUCAAGGUCACAGUGACAAAAAUCGUAUUCACACAAUGGCU